rnacentral:piRNA from 1 species
UGCAGUGAACCUUCUGCUUACAAUAGGC